CCCCAGCCCGCCUCCUACCGCCGGAGGCAGUCGUCGUGGGCAAGCGAGCGACGGCGGCAGCCGAAGCGAGGGAGCCUGCAGCGCCGUGACGGGUCGCUCCUCCGACCCACGCGCUGCCGCCGGCUGGCCGUCUGCAUGCCUCCCCGCCGACGGGCUCGCCUCCUCUUGUCCCGGACCCCUUGUCCCGGACAAUUCCCCCAACCCGAUCCCACCACCCCGAGCGCGCCGCCAUCGUGCCCCUCGCCGAGCACACAGCCAUCGGCCACCUGCGUUGCGCCGCCGCCUCCCCCCUCCCCAGCGCGCCUCGGCCAGUCACUACGUCAGCACGCCGAUGUCUGCCCACUGCCCCAGCGCGCUGCUUCCACGACCUCCCUCCCUUAGUGUGCCGCCAUCUACCCCUGCCUCCGUGCGCCACCACCUACCUCCGAGCGCCGCCGGUCUUCGUGCACAACUGGCCACCGCUGCCUCCUGCGCCAACUAUGUCCCGAGACUAGCCAUGGUGGUGGAUCCAAGAUUCGCCGAGGGAAAAGGGGAGCUGCUGCUCCCUGUUGAUGGCCGGUCCUUGCCACCGACCGCGGCACUCCCGACGUGUCCGAGCGCGAGCGCCCCUAGAGGCUUGCUCCCCUGCACCCCUGAACCAGCGCCAUCCACCACUCGAGCAGGAUGGCAAUGGCGACAACAUCCAGCGGUCCUCCUCUGCCUCUGCUUGCCCUGCGUUCAUCACUGGCCAACCGUGCAAAUCCAUGUAAAAUGAGUUCAGUUCAAUGGAUUCCAAAAAGGAAAAAAUUAUGGUUGGGUGAGAAAUCAACUUCCUGUACAGUUCUGCCAUGAGCAUAGGACGACCCCGACCACUGGCACCACUGCUUCCCGACCUCUUGCUUGCAUCGCCAUCUCCCGGUGGGGCUUUGCCGCCGGAGCACCCUGGUCGUUCACAGCCACCACUCCAGGCCGUUGAAAUAAAUCAAGCAGUGUUUUGUCGACAACAUGGUGAUAGCCCUUCACUGAAAUAAAUCAGACCUCGAAUCUGAGUUCUUCAUGGAGUAUGGUGAAAUAAACAGGUAUCAGGUUGGUGGUGAUUAAGGCCACUACGCCAGUCCAGUCCCACCUCCCAGACAGGUCUCCGCCGCUACAUCAUCUCGCAAACCGAGCCCCCCUGGUGUCGCAUCUUGUCGAGCUCACUGCCUUGCCGUGGUUCCAGUGGGGGACGGGCAUGCUCAUACACAGGAGGAUGGAUGCCCUGGUCUGGUACGACCAGGAUGGUAUCGGUGCUUCGGCCAACUCCAUCAAUCUGCUUAGUAAAUGCCCACUCCUAAAUCCGUUUGAAGUUUUGGUUAUGAUCGCCAUGCUCUUCUCAAUUUUCAAAACUUUAAGAGUUCAAAGUACACAAGAACAUAAGUCCCCUAUGCUUUGCGUCAGAUAUCUGAUAUUUGUGAGGGGAACUUCAAUUUUCUUCAGUUCAACUUUUGAAUGUGUUUCAGUUCGUCUACUUCCCAGUCGUCCUAUGUCAAUCAAAAAAAGCAGCAGUUUAGCACGAAAAAUAGAGCCUCUUCUCUUCCCAGUACACAACACAGAAGGUAUUUGUCUCCAACUUACAUUAAGAGUUCAAAGUACACAAAGGAAAAAGGUUCAAUUUUCAAAACUUUAAGAGUUCAAAGUACACAAGAACAUAAGUCCACUAUGCUUUGCAUCAGAUAUCUGAUAUUUGUGAGGGGAAAUUCAAUUUUCUUUAGUUCAACUUUUGAAUGUGUUUCAGUUCGUCUACUUCCCAGUCGUCCUGUGUUAGCUAGAUCAGUACUAGUGCUCACCAGUACGACAAGUAGCAGUACUGAUUAGUACGACCUACACAAAUACUAUUACUGAUCAGUAAUAUUCUUAAUGUUAAAAAGUAACAUCCAUAUAGAAAAAUUGCUUCUAUUCUAACACACAAUUUUUUGGAAAAAAGAGCACUAGUACUGAUGAGUCGUACCGACAAGGAUGCCGUCUACAAUUCUAAAAUUAUUGUUGAGUCGUACUAGUACUAUUACUGAUGAAAAUGGGAAGCAAGUGUCACAUGAAUCCUCAAUUGAAUGGGAAGCAAGGUGAUCCUCGCUCCUUCAACUCCACUUCGCCAGUGCCCGUCAGUCUGCGGGAGUAGGGGCGGCGUGCUCGUCAACAAACAAGAACAGAAGGGAGCAACUGGCGUCGAAUGGGCCCCUGGGAGCUAGUCCAACCCGCUCGCAGACUGGAGGGCAUGUUGGUUUAUUUCCAAUGAAGCCCUAUGUACAAUCAGUCUGUUCGUUUGAUAAGAAAGGAGACAACAUAGAAGUUAUGGUUGAAGCAAGUCCCUCCAUCCAGUUAUGUCCGAUUUUUGUGAUAGUAGUUCAAAAUGAGGGAUAUAUUGUAUAAACUUUUUUGGACUUGUGCCCAGGCUGCUUCUGAACAACUCCAAUGCUUUAUUGGCCUUAGUACUACAGUUUGGUAACUUUGAACUGAGAACUCUAUGAACUCUUGGACAUGUUCAUAAAGUAUUCCUGGACUAAGAACUCGAUGAACUCCUAGACCUAUUCAUAAAGUAUUGUUGGAGAACUCUCAGUAGUUCUAGUAUUAUAGUGUGUGUUUUGAACUAAGAGAUAUACUCUAUGAACUUUCUCUACUCUUGAAGCAUUUUGUUCUCAUAUAUAAA